rnacentral:rRNA from 1 species
UACGAAGGGUGCAAACGUUGCUCGGAAUCAUUGGGCGUAAAGCGCACGUAGGCGGCCUCGCAAGUCGGACGUGAAAUCCCUCAGCUCAACUGAGGACGUGCAUCCGAAACUGCAAGGCUUGAGUACUGAAGAGGAUCGCGGAAUUCCCGGUGUAGAGGUGAAAUUCGUAGAUAUCGGGAGGAACACCAGUGGCGAAGGCGGCGAUCUGGGCAGAUACUGACGCUGAGGUGCGAAAGCGUGGGGAGCAAACGGG